rnacentral:lncRNA from 1 species
AUGAUGGUGAGUGGUCUUGGUUCCUGUUAGUAGGAUUCCUACGUUUACCUUUCGCCAUCUGGUAAUCUCUGGAGUUAGUAGUUAUAGUUGACUCUGUUUAGAGAUUGUUCUUCUGGUGAUUCUGUUACCGUCUCUCAGCAGACCUGGGAGACAGAUUCUCUCCUCUGAGUUUCAGUGCUCAGAGCACUAUCUGCUGGCAAGCUCUCUUACAGGGAAGGUGCGCAGAUAUCUUGUUUUUGGACCUCCUCCUGGUCGAAGAAGAAGGCCCAAAACAGGGCCUCUCUCAGAAGCUGUGUUGCUUUGGCAGUUCCCAGAAGCUGUCAGCUUCUGUGGUGCAGACUCUCACCUGUGCAGACUAAAAUCCUAAGUUCCAGGGAGUCCUGGAACCAAGAUGGUGACCGCUGCUCCUGAGGCUGAGGCCAUCUCCCGAGCCAGGCGGACACCUGUCCUCUGGUCCGGAUGGUGGCCGGUUGUCUGCGGCCCGCCCAGGCUGCUGCCUCAGCGGCUCUGUGCUUCUGCCCGUCCCAGAAGCUGUCCGGUUCUCUGGCGCACCCUCUAACCUGUUCAGACUAAUUUCCUAAGUUCUGCUGAGUCCCGGAACCAAGAUGGUGACCGCUCAAUAAUAUUAUUUUAAAACAAUGAAAAUCCCUUAGUUACUCUUAAUGUGUUUUAUUUAGCAUAUAAGUGAGGUAGAUACCUAGCAGAUUUUCCUAUAAUAUUAAAGGAAUUGUUUUCUUCUACAAAAGGAUGACACUUGCUUUACAAACACAAUUACUGAGAAUAUUUUAAAAUUAUCUUAUUUUCAUUUUAAAUUAUUUUUUGUGCUAUGUAUCUAACAAGAACCUUAUACAUGCUAGAAUAUUGGUCUUUGACUCAAAAAUAUUUUAGUCUUUAAAUGUAUUUAAUUGAGUCUUAGAAUCUUAAGGAGAAACCUUCAGUUCUUCCUAAGAUGUCCUCUGUAUUUCUUGACCAUAGCCAUUACUUCUUUGAUUCAGAUAGUCUGUGUCUGGGGAUAUACUUUUUGUUUAUUAUUUUUGAGUCUUAAAUAACCAUGGUUAACUUAAUCCUUAAUUUUGAAAGUUUGAGGCUACAUUGAGAAAAACUGUAAAAUUUUCCAUUGGGUAGAGACGCCAAAGAUUAGAAUAUCUUUUCUUAACCAAACUUCCAAAUAUAUUCUCAUUGCAUCAGCUGUAUUCUCCUUGCAGGGAUUUACUACGUUCCCAUUGCAAGAAAUAAAAUGGUGCCUUUGAGUAAAUCUGCUUCAUCAGACACCAGUUUAGCAUGCCAAGUUAAAGCCAUCAAUGGAGAAGCAGCAGAUGUGAAGGCUACUUGGCAUCAAAGCAUAUGAGUCAAAGAGUUUCCUAUGGGAAAGAAAGUGCUUCAUUACACUUUAUCUAUAGUGAGAACAUUGGUUCUAUCAAGCUGUCUGGAAAUUAGAAUAUGAUGGGUUUUAUUGCCCUGGCUCUGCCAGAGAGAAUUCAAUAGUUAAAAAGAAAGCCAUAAUGCCAUUUUGGGAAUUAUAAGAAGUGAUUUCAGUGUUAGUGUAUUUAAACUUGGAAGAGCAGCAACUUUUAUCUUAGAAAGUAGCUUCUCUAAAAUAUCUGGAGGACAGAAGUUUAAUCCCUUUCUAAUUGUUACAUUUAAAAUGUGUACUAAUGCAGCUUUGGGACACUUUAAUUAAAGAAAAAAGUUAUGUGUUCGACUGAAGUGUAAAAUCUGCUAAGCAGUGUUUUAAUUGGCUUGGAAGGCAAGUGCCUGAAGUGGCUGCAAUUGCAGGGUACAGUAUGGGACUCUCCCCGCCUGGCACUCCCUCUCCACUCAGUGGAACAACCAUUCCUACUGUUUGUCAAGUUGGGAAGGGCAGCAUAAAUAAGGUGUCACACCUCAUUAAUCUUAGGGGCAAAUGCCCCACAGGGACUAGAAAAUUCUAAAGUCAGUUAAUAAAAUUACUUUGAAUUGGAACAUCAAGUGCUGGAUAAUGGUUGCCAAUGUGAGUGUUUACUGCCAACGAAGAGCAUUUUGAAAGAAAUACAAACAUGACAUAUUUUUGGAAACGAGAUAAAUUUAUAUAACUAUUAUCCAAAAAAAUGCCUUGGAAUUUAAAAAAACUAUAAUGUUUAUUUCUUAUAUAAAAAUAGGUAAAAUGUAAAUUCUUCAUGUUAUACAAAUUUGUGAAUAAAAACAUAGAGUUUUGAAAAAUAAUAAAAAAAGAACCUCAAUU